rnacentral:lncRNA from 10 species
ACAGCGCAGGAGCUCUCAGACUACCUCAGAUGCCAAGAGCCUGGUUUGAAUACAAGCCUUGCCAUUGUGUGACUUUGGGCCAGUGUUUCCAGCCAUCAUGUCAGAGCUGAGUGGAGUGGCACUGGGUGCCAAGGCAAACACCCAGCCCAGCUGUGCUGGGAAGAACUGAGCUCCAAUGUGUCUUGUGACCCAGCUCCUCCCACCCACCUGGCUGUGUCUCCUAUCCUGCAGAGAUUUCUGGGGGCUGUUUCCAGUAAACAGAGUGCCAGCACCCACUAACCUGUAAAUAGCACCUUGUUCAGGGGGAGUGAUAUUCUUUGGUAAGUGACCGUAAACUGAUUAUACCAAGUCCUUCAAUGGAGAGAUGGUGGUUAAAAAGCAAAACUGAGGCUGGUAAAUUUUUACCAUUUCUUUGUAGACUGUAUGAUUUGGGGCCUUGCUGCUCAAAAUGUGGUCAGCAGCAUUGACAUCACCUGGGAUCUCAUUACAAAUGCAGAAUCUCAGACCUCACUCCAGAUGUGCUGGAUGAGAAUGGCCAUUUUCACAAGCUCCCCAGGAUAUGUGUGCCUGUUAAAGUUUGAGAAGCACUGAUCGGAGGACUUCGGUUAUAAUCCCACCUCCUUCUAUAAGUGAUUAAAGAAAAUUCACUUAUACUCUCCUUUGAACAGCUGUAUGCUUCUCAAUUUCUCUCUCUCUCUCUCUCUCUCACACACACACACACACACACACACUUUAUUUUUCAAUCUCUAUAGACUUGCUUCUUUGUAAGGCUCUCAAUUUCUCCUCCCCAGUGACACAAGCUUGCAUGUGGAUAUAGCUCGUCAUGGUGCCUAUUUAUCUUCAACUUUAUGCAACCUUAGCACUCUUUUACUCAGAAACCUUUUGACUGGGAGAGCAGGGCAAACUCAAAUCCCUACAGAGACCAGGAAGGCAGCAUGGAUGAGUGCAGAAAGCUACAUUUGUUUCAGAAAGGAAUCAGUGUAUAUUCUUUCAGCAGACACAUUUAGUUUGUUUCUUAUAAGCCACUAGAAGAGUCAUUACUUUCACAAAGUCAUAUGCUUAUUCCCAUUUUUCAUAAAAUAUGGCCUAUCUUCAGUUUUCCCAGUUUUGAUACAGAAAAAAAUAUAAGAAAGAUUUUCUAUUUCCUAUAACUAUAAAAGCCCACUAAUAGCACCAGCACAGCCACCCCUGGGCUUCACACAGGGAGUGGCAGGAGCUGUGCAGAUGGAGAGUGCAUACUGGUGUGAAGGGGGCAAUGGAUCUCAGCUCCAGCCAUUGUCUUCAUGCAGGAAUUUGGGACCAUUUUACCGGAUCCUCCCAUUUCUUCAAGAGAAGCCGGAAAUCUGGAUUUCUAUGUGAAAUCUCCCACUUUUUUAUGCUGGCAACUAAUUUUCUUUAAACACUGUGCCAAACAAAACAUACCUGCAGGCCAAAAUCUACACCCUCUGGGCUGGAUUUCAAUGUCUCUUAAACUCUCAACAGAGAGCAUCUUACUGUUUCAGUUCAGGGUAGAUGUCUACCCAUGGUCCCAUCGAGUGGGGUCUGGAUAUGGAAUCAGCUAGAAGAAGCAUAGUCUAUGCCCAUUCUUUCAGCAGGGACUGUGGGCAGGAAACCAUUUCCAAAGAAGCAGGCAUGAGUUGGUGGCCAUACAAAUAUAUAUGUUAUAUUGAUAAAUAUAAAAACAGGAGAUUCUGGGGGACCACAAGUUUUUACAAAUUAGGCUUAUUUUAGGAUAAAUUCACCCUUGUUAGUGUGCAGUUCUGUGAGUUUUGAUAUACAUAUGCAGUCAAGUAACCACUCCCACAAUUAAGAUACAGAAUAAUUCCAUCACCCCCCAAAUUUCUUGUAUGCCCCUUUAUAGCUAGCCCCUGACCCUAACCUCUGGCAAUCACUAAUAUAUUCUCUUUUUCUAUAGGCUUGCUUUUUUUCAAAAUGUCAUAUACAUGGAAUCACACAGUUUAUAGCCUUUUGAGUCUGGCUUAUUUUACUCAGCAUAAUGCCUUUGAGCUUUAACCAUGUAAUUUCAUGUAUCAGUAGUUCAUUCCUAUGUAUUGCUAAGUAAUUUUCCACUGUAUAGAUGCACCACAGUUUGUUUAUCCAUUCACCAAUUAAAGCCAUAAUCAACUUCCAUGUAGAAGUUUGUGUGUGAACACAGUUUUAAUUUAUUUGGGGUUACUACCUAGGAGUGAGAUUCUGGGUCUUAUGGUAAGCAUACAUUUUACUAAGAAACUAUAAAACUCUUUUCCAAAGUGGCUGAACCAUUUGACAUUUCUAACAGCAAUAUUUGAAAGUUCCCAUUGCUCUGUAUCCUCUCCAGUACUUACAUGCUCAGCAUUUUGGUUUGGUCUGGUUUCAUUGUUUCUGAGCUCUUCUGAUAGAUGUGGAGUACACCCCCAUUUUGGAUGAAUUGUGCCAAAUGUGUAGACCAUCCUCAAAAUCUAAGGUCUCAGUAAAAACAAUUAAACAUGAUUUCUGAUAUAAUGUCUUAUCCUUGAAAACCCUGACCCAUCCAUCUUCAGCACAUUCACAUGUGUAAUAAGGUAAGUGAUUUUUAAUUCCACCAGGUUUAAAGACCCCUGACGUGACUUAUUGCCAUUCUGCUACUGAGCCUUGAGAGAUUAUGGUAAGUGCCAAGAAAAAAAAAAUGACUUUGAACUGCUCUUUCACCAGUUAAAAAUAACACUGAAACCAAAUGUAAACAUAAAAGAAGUGGUCAGAUUCGGGUUACAUAUUAACGGUGUUUGGUCAGGCUGGAGCUGAGGCACAGCAGCAGAGAAUGCCUUUUACUUAUCACUGUUUCCAAACCUCCCUACCUGGACUAGGCUUGACUGGAUUUACAAGAGACCUUUUGAAAAGAUGCAGAGAAGGCAAGCAGCACACAUUUCCUGGUAAUAAAUUUUAAAGGUUGCUAAAACAUUCCAGAGAUUUUCACUCAACAUUCCUCUGGCCAACACAUCUGCAAUCUGCCAAUCCUUAAAAAUAGGUGUUUUUGCAUUUUAAUCUCACAAACAUCUUUGAAAAUGCAUUUCUUCUCUGCCCCUGUGUUGGACAAAUCCAGCUUUUUCCAUUUUCUAAAAACCACAGAAAUAUAAUGCUGCUUAAUUCAUACAAGACUGAGCUAACUGGAGUUAAAAUAAAAUUUCUGAGAGUUUGUUUGGCUCACUCUUCCCUACCAGAUGAUUCCAUUCUUAAAACGGUCCUGUGAUUAUAUUCUCUCAUUACAGAGGUGUCCAGAAAAAAAAUAAGGAGUGCAGUUCUGAAAUUAUAUAAAAGCAAAAUUAUUACUCUAAACGUAAGAGCUGUGAUAGAUCGUGUCAUUGACCAUGGUUCUUUUCCCCUGACACACACGUCCCCACCACCCACCCACUGUAUCCAUAUGCCUUUUGCCAUAUGACUUUGCAGCUCUCCCCACUAAAGGGGCAGCCAUGCGAUUUGCUUUGGCCAAUGAAAUGAGGCAGUAGUGGUGGUAUCCUAGUUCUGAGCCUAGGUCUCAAGAAGUCUUAUGUGUUUCUGCUUAUCCUCUUAUACCUCUGCCAUCACCAUGAGCCAAACAUCCCCCAAGUAGCCCACUGGUCCCAGGACAAGGAGGGAGACAUGAAGCAGAGCUCAUCCAGCUGCUGCAGCCCCACUUGACCCAGAGACCUACACUGGGAAGCAGAGCUGCCCAGUCAAGUCCAACCUGGAUGUGUGGAACCCCAGCCAACCUGAUGCAUGAGCAGGAGAUCAGCUUAAUAUUGAAUCCUAGCCUCAAUGCUUUGGAUUUGUGCCAAGAAAAAUAACCUGAUCCCCAGAAUCAUUGAGAAUUGACGGGGGUCCUCAGGCUGUGCCUCGCCCUGAAAUGAUUCCUAGAUAUCUCUCUGAGGGAUAUACAAAGAGAGGAGGAAUAAUAAAAACCAA